UGUUUUGAUGAUGGGUUCAAAAUCUUUUUCUUGCUUUUUUUCUUCUUUCUCAUUUUUCUUUUGUUGUUCAACAAUUAAUUCGUCUUUAUAAGGUGUACUUGUUAGAAUGACCGUUCCCACACUUUUUCUCUUUCUGGUUCCUCUUGUGUUCUCUUUCAUUUUGGGCAAUGGAUUUAUUUCAUCAGGAGGGAUGUUAAAACUGGUUGACAUAGAAGCUGAAGCAAUUUGAAUGUCGUUUUUAGUAUUUGGUGCGACUUCAUUCCUGCGCUUGAUUUGGUGUUGCUCUUGAGGAUCAUCGACUUCGACAUCGCCUUCUGGUACAGCUUCACAAGUUUGGUCUGAAGUCAUCACGAUGUCUUCUUCAGUGACUUCCGCUGCUACAAAAUCAAUAUCCGUGAAUACAUCAGGGUCGUAUGGAACCAAUCCAGUUUUCUUAAAUCCAUUUAUCGCAUUAGCAGGACUGCAAGCUUGAAUGUAAGAUUCAUUAAAAAUAGAUGAAAUUUGAAAAACUGUGACAACCCUUCCUGGGUGAUUGUUGAGCCACUUUUCAAGAGCCUUAUCGUGGUAAUGAUUCAACGGAUACGUAACUGAAACAUCUAAUGGCUGCAACUUAUGAGUGCAGUGAGGAGGUAGGCAAAUAAUGGUAACAAAGCUUUCUCUUGCUUUUUCUAUGACUAGUAAAUUCUUGGUAUGGGAAAGAUGCCCGUCUAGUAUCAAAAGUGCGGGGUCGGUUUUCGUUGGUUUCACAUGACUUAAAAAGUGAUCAAACCAUUUAUAUACUAAAAACUUCAAUCUUCAUCCAUUGCAUUCAAAUAUUGUUCCAGGUGGUGCACCAUCUUUCAACUCUUGCUUCAUUCGCUGUCUAGAAAAAAUCAACAUUGUGGGAACAAAAUUGCCUCCCGCUGACAUACAGAUAACAGCAGUUGUUGAAACUCCUCGCUCAGCCGACACAACUCUACCGACUUGCUUUCUUCCCUUUUUUGCCAAUAUCUUGCAAUUUUUUCCAGGGACCGUACUCACGGAUGUUUCAUCCACGUUGAAUAUCCUGUGGGGCGAGUACGGCGUUUUAUCCAUUGCGGAUUUUAACAGUGAAAAAAAUUUUGUGACAACUGGGCGGUUAAAAGCUCUAGCUCGGGCUGUGGAUGUUGCUUCGGGUGCUCUUAACGAAAUUUCAGGAUGACGCAUACGAAAACCAGUAAACCAGUCUUUGCCAGCAAGUUGCGUUUUUGCUGAAAAUGGAUUUGGAAUGCGGUUUUUAACGGCUAAUUGGUACGCAAUUGACCGGAUAUCGUGAAUGGUUAAGCCAUACAUUCUGGUUUCCAUGUUCAAUAUAUGACGUACAAGAUCCGCUUCUUGAUCCACAGUGAACACAUUCAUCUUACUACCUAGAACUUUCUUUUCGUCUGUGGCCAACUUAUUUUUGCCCUUGCAACGCCUCUUGAGACUCAUCACCGGGACUUGAAAUUGUCUUGCCGCAGUUUUAAAUGGCAAUCCAUUCUGAACUGCCUCGACAGCUGCUCGCAUUUGUUCAUCAGACCAAUUCUGCCGAUUUGUUUUCCUUAUAUACUUCGAAACCAUUCUCUGAAUAAAUGGAAAACAGAUUGAAUCUAGUAAUAGGAAAGCUUGGGCAAAAUGAUCCCUCAAAACGGAAUAACGCGGGUAAAAUGAUCCCCACCGGGAUCAUUUUGCCCGAAAUUACACGUUUGUUUUACGCGCCAUUUUUCGUGAAUGUGUCUUGUCAAAAUACGCCAUAGAUGGCGUUUACGAUACUCAAAUUAUUUCGAGGGAUCGUUUUACCCGUGGGGAUCAUUUUAGGCGGUCCUCCCCUAUCAGCACAAAAUUUGCUUCAUGCCUACAUCUUACUGUUUACACAAGGAAGCUUUGCAAAACCAAAUUAAAACUUAUGGAGGGUUUAUACAAUCAUUAUCAUUAGUUCACUAUCAUCAACCCAGCAAACACGAUGACGUGAUAAUGUCGUCAUAUUAAAGUGAUUUUUUGGUAAGUCACGUCAAUGUUCAAAAAAUGACGUGAAUAUGACGCGGUUUUUUAUGACAUCUGUAUGAAGACAUGUAAUGACGGUAUUCUGACGUCAUCUUUUAGUCAGUACAAUUACUCAUUCACAUCCCUGAAAUGAAUCUAUUUUUACUUUCCUAUAUUGUUUUUAACUAAUUUAGUUCAUUUCCUUCCAAAUGAAUAAAUAAUGCACUUUUAAAAUGUCAGCGUAGAACUAUGUACUUAAAUAAUUAGAAAUUAGUUAUAAUCGCAAUGGCUCCCGACAAUAUGGCAUAAUAUAACUCUGAAAACCAGGAUAAAAGAAUUUUUAGCUGCGUCACAGAUAAAACACUAAUUUAUCUGUGGCUGCGUGAACAAAUAAAUCACUUAUUUGAAUUCAUGUGUAUGGCGCGGUAAUUUGCUUGAUCUUUUGGUUGGAGUACGCCCAUUCGUUCGGUCUGGCGCCUUAACCUCAUUUUAUCACGCUUUCAUACGUUGUCGAAUUGUUUUAAUUUUUAUCGAUGGCUUUUGUGGUAUUGAAUUUGAAGAGUCAAGUGGUGGAGGAUUAGCUGUGAUUUUAGAAGAGUGGUUAACACCGAGAAAAAGGGAGGCAUUCUGGCCACCUUAUAAGAGCCAGAAAACGUUUAACACCGCCUUACAAACCGGCGAGGUGCAUAAGGAAGAUUGGCAGAUUUACCCGUUUUUUUCAAGUCGAUGAUUUAUUAGAAGCCCAGAAAAAAAUAAAAUUGGCAGAAGAUACUUCGGAUGUACAAACUGACAAAGACCAAAGAGGCAGUAUUAAAGGCGAAACGAAGAGACGACGACAACCGCCAAAAAAAUUUGCUAUUGAUGAAUCUGAUCAAAACUGUAUCAGUAGCGAUGACGGACACGUAAAGUCCAAUUAAAAUAAGUUACCGAGACCUCCACCCGUAUCAGUUUUGGCAGAACGAGGCUCGUCAUCAGCGGAGAAUAUAUACAGGGUGGUGCCUAGCGUAACGCAGCAUAGGGAUUUCAAUUUCAAUGAGAAAAAAAUACUGCAUCUGUUCAUACUAUUUAUACUUAUAAUUUCACAUUUUUCAAAAUAGAGGAAAUGAUAAGGUCAAUGCACCAACACAAGCGGACGUGGCCAGAUUUUUCAAGGCAAAGUGGCAUAUUUUCUUUCAAGGUCGACUGUUGUGGUAUCUGAUAUUACUCUCAAGGUCAACUUCCUUGCCUUCAUAUUUCGAUUCCAAUGACAAUUUUCAAGGUCACUUGUUUUAUGACAUCGCAUUACAUCUUCAAGGUUAACUUUAUUUGGUAUCAUAUCUCAUUUCCAUGGUGAGGUGUAAUAUUUCAUUUUGAAGGUCAAUCGAUUCUACAGUUUAUUGUUCAAACAAGCUGAACCCAGCGCAGUACCAAUACGAGUUUUAAAAAGAAAAGGAUCUAGGGUGGACCCUUAUGGAAUAGCUGAGGCCUGGGCGAAAUAUUUAGAAUCAUUGCUAUUAUAGGGCACAAAAUGCGAUCUGUCCACAAGAUAAGAUUUGAUAAAAUUCGCUAAGGUAGAAAGUACUGAAACCAUAUCCUCAGGCAAUUUUUUAAUCAGAAUGUAGUGAUCUAGUUAAUCAAAGGCUUCUUGAAAAAAAAAGGUAGCAAUUACUUAUUAAGCUACACAAAAUUAAAAUCAAAUUUCAAACUAUAAAAAUUAAAUUCUAUUGCUACUUAAACUAUAAACUACAACUACAAGUUAAUAUACAUAUAUACAAUUUUUACAUUGUUUCUAUGGAAACUCCUCAAUCCUCCGACUGUACUCCUGGGCGAUUCUAAUAUUCUCCCGCACCCCCUCCAAGUUUUGGUUGGCCUCGAAUAGCUCAUUAUUCAGUUGAGCUACUCGAUUUGUCAACAUCACCUCAGAAUUUUUGUAGCAAGCAUGCAGCUCCUGAAUCCACUGCAAACUAUACUGCUUAAACUCCCUUAAGUUGCUCGGUGGAAGCACCAUAGUUUGCUGCGGAUUGCGGACUGUAGAGAGCUGCUGCUGCGGAGGCGGUAGAUGUUGUACUGUGGGAGGCUGCUCCCGAGGGGACGAUUGACUGAGGACUGCUGCUGCGGUGCGUCGGAUGCUGCUGCAUAGGUGCAAGAUUUGG